GGAGAGGUGGCAGAGUGGUCGAAUGCGCUCGACUUGAAAUCGAGUGAAUCGAAAGAUUCCGAGGGUUCGAAUCCCUCCCUCUCCG
rnacentral:tRNA from 1 species